UUUCAUAAAAUACCUUGAGGCAUCAUUCCCUCAGUUGUCUGGCAGUCCCAGGACCAGAACGCAAAGUCAGCAAUUUGUUUCAGCGCAGCGAAAACAUUUUAUGCUGCCAGACCUGGUGAUCUUCCAGCAACUUUGUUUUUGAAGCUAUGAUAAUGGUUGUUUGUUAUAGACGAUAUUCGACUUUUUCAGUCCAAGUACCUCUUACUUUUUGGUAAAUAUAAAAAUGAUUUUGGAUAUUGAAA